rnacentral:rRNA from 1 species
GAUGAACGCUAGCUGCAGGCUUAACACAUGCAAGUCGAGGGGCAGCAUGAUUGAAGCUUGCUUCAAUCGAUGGCGACCGGCGCACGGGUGAGUAAUACGUAUCCAACCUGCCGAUAACUCGGGGCUAGCCUUUCGAAAGAAAGAUUAAUACCCGAUAGUAUAGUAUUUCCGCAUGGUUUCACUAUUAAAGAACUUCGGUUAUCGAUGGGGAUGCGUUCCAUUAGAUAGUUGGCGGGGUAACGGCCCACCAAGUCAACGAUGGAUAGGGGUUCUGAGAGGAAGGUCCCCCACAUUGGAACUGAGACACGGUCCAAACUCCUACGGGAGGCAGCAGUGAGGAAUAUUGGUCAAUGGACGAGAGUCUGAACCAGCCAAGUAGCGUGAAGGAUGACUGCCCUAUGGGUUGUAAACUUCUUUUAUACGGGAAUAAAGUGGAGUAUGCAUACUCCUUUGUAUGUACCGUAUGAAUAAGGAUCGGCUAACUCCGUG